rnacentral:lncRNA from 1 species
CCCUCCAAAAAAAGUAGCAGCUGAUCAACUCCCUUCGUUUGAAGUUUAAGAAAAGAGAAUUACUUUUGAACUUAUGGUGUAAAAUGAAGCACGUAUAUUUUGUGUGGCUAUAAAUUAUUGUAUAAAAGUAAAUUAUUUUCAAAUAGGGAAAGAAAUUAUUUUUUUUGGCAUGGACUAAAAAAAAAUAGGUUUACGUAAAUUGAAACGGAGAGAGUAAUUUUUUAACUGGUCAUCCCAUGAGGACUGUGACGUAUCAGAUGAUGAAAGGUAUAUCGGCUUCUUAUACACUUGUAUAGAACUAUUUGGGCUGCUGCCAAGUAUCCUGGUCCUAGUGGUUAUAUGAAAUGCAUUUUUUCCUCUAAGAGUAUUGGGUUUUCAUCGAAAUAUUAAUAUACAUCCCCUACUAUAUCGUUGCAGUUUCGUUGCUAAGCAACUCCUUUAUUACCCAUUCAAGAAACUGAACAAGCAGUAAUUUUAGAGAAGGCGGCAAAGAGCAUUCCACCCAAGGAAAACAUACUUCAUUGGUGCGUAAUAACAACGUAGAAGAUUCAUACUGUCAAGCCAUCUCUUUUUAUAGAACUGCAGUUUGGAAACCCCAAAAAUAAAUAAAUAAAAUUUAAAAAAUACCUAAUACGUACAAUGUAUGUUAUGAAGCAUAAUAUGCAUUUAUAAUCUAUUUUCUCUUUUUUCUAAGAAGACCUCUUUAAAUACACUCUUGAAUCUAGCUAUUAGGAAAAAAGAAAAUAUUUGAAUCUAGUUGUUUACCUUGGAAAUAGUAAUUAUUAUUAGAUUUGAUUUUGUGAUUCUAAAAAAUACGUGAUUUGUUUUUAUGCUAGUUUGUUAGACAAUAGAUGCUAAGGAUGUGACUAGAAAAUGAGAUAGGAAAUUAAAAGCAAUAUGCUUGAGCAAACCGAGUCACUGAGAAUCGGGGCCUCGAGCCAGGUUAUACAAGGCCUCGAGGUCGAGCCAGAUACUAAGUUGUAAAUGGUCGAUGAGGACUAACGAUUCUAAGAGCUUUGACGAUAGCUCUUUAUGAUUAAUAAUGACCAAUAAAUGAAGAACAACUAAUGAAGCACAAUAAAUGCAAGCAUGAUAGUAAACGGAAGCAAAGAAAUCAAAAGAGAAUAUGUCUAAGUUAGAGAGUAGAGAAUGUUCUUGUUCUUGUAUUCAAUAUUGUGUGUCCUCACAAAAUGACAAGGAUUCCCUUUAUAUAUGAGGGGGAACCCCAACAUAGUACAAAUGCAUUUAUUACAAAGAUAUAUGGUUGGUACAACCAUUUAAUGCCACGGUACGGGCUUAAACUAGUUUAAUAGCCUUAGUCACCUUUAACCACGUUUCUUGGAAACUUCCCAUUUUUCCAUCACAAUUACGACCUGACUGCCCCGAGGUCAAACAUCAUAACGCCUCGGGGUUGAACCUCGACCUUUGUCUCGAGCCUAUGAAGCGUCAUAAUGACUAUAAAUCGGACCCUCUGAUUUUUACCGCAUACAAAUAGUCCCUACAUUUCCUAGAAUGAAAAUGAUAAAAAAUGGUCUUGAGUUCUUACCUCUUCGAUACUACACACCCGUGGCGUCAGCCUAUCAGAGCAUUAAAUGGCAUCACUCAAAGACUGUGCGGGGUCAUUGUCAACACGACUAUCGAGAAGCCCAUGAACCGAUAUUCGUUCAACCUUUCCCCUUCCCAAAAGCUUCCAAUCUGGCCUCUAUAAAUACCUCAACCGUUUUGCCAUUCAUACGUUACAACACCUUCAAGUUUUUACAGCUAAAAUCACCAUUUUCUAGAUUUUUCUGCGUUGGUUUCUUCACUUUCCUUCCUAGAAACCCUUCUUUUCUAUAGUCAUGGCCAGAACUUCUAGAAUGGUACCUCAGAAAAAGGGCACCGCAUCCUCGUCACGUCGGUCGAAGGGCAAACCAAAAGUAUACCAGCUAUCGAGCAAUGUACCCCUACCAAAUUUGACAAUGUAUCUGAUCUUUCCAUCGAACAUCCCCCUGCUAUACUAGGCCGAAGUGAACGUGUGUCUUGGUACAUCAGUGUGGUGACCGAUAUGAAGAGAGUGAAAAAAGACUACGGAUAGGGGGGACGCAACGUUAAUUGAAAUCCCCAAUUCUAAGGAGAGCAUAGUAGACCAUAAAGCUGGCUUCCUCAGCGUGUAUACAUACCUAUUUACUUUAGGCCCUGCAGAUUCUUCGGAUCAUUCUUCACCAUUGAUAGAUCUGGUGAUUCUCGAUUUCUGCUAUGAGUACCGAGUGACGCUCGUUCAAUUCUAUCCUUCUUUGUGGAGGAUCGUUCAUAUGCUUCGGUACUUUUCCAAGCAGGUCGAGGGUAUGACCUUUACCCUCAAUCAUUUGUUCAUAUUAUACAGCCCUCGUCUCUUACGUGGUUUGGCCAAGCUUCACCCUCGAUCUGCGAGGCCGUUCUUUUCGAGCACCGAUGAGGACAAGGAUCGAGGAUGGAUGAGUCGGUUUGUCUAAGUAAGGACCUCGAACAUCAUCCCGGCUAAUAGGAUGCUAUUCCCGAAGGAAUGGAAUAUGAACCGUAAGUGCCCUUACCUCGAGCAUAUUUUAUUGUCUUUUCAUCCCCUUCUAAAAAAUUAUCUUUUUUGAUUAUGCAGCCAUUUUUUGGUACUCUGGCGCGGUUCAGAACCUAUUGGGAUGGAUCAAACAGUUGGAUUUCGCUUUGCUUAUCUUGAUCGUUCUUGGUGCGACUUGACCAAAACACAGUGGCAGGACAAGAACCACAGUAUGCUUUUUACUGUUAUCUUACCAUGUUUCCUUAUGAAUAUCUUUUAUAGCGGUAAGUCUGAUGUAUCAGGCUUGUGUAGGCCUAGGGGAUGGAGUGUCGAUGAGACCAGCUCCUGCUGGUGAAGAGGGGACCUCGAAACCCGACAAGGGCAAGAAAAGGAAGAAAGAGGCUUCGACCGAGUCUUCAAUUAAGGUCGACGCCACGGUCUCGACUUCGGCUGCUGUGGCAAGUCCUCAUUCUGAAGAUGAAGGUGAUGAUGUUGAUGAUCGCCCUUUGGUACAAAGGGCAAGACAGAGUGUUGAUGCUCCGCCGGUUGUUGGUCAAGAGGCCGCUGGGUCAGGAGUGGUCGAUAUAGGCCAAACCCGUGAUGAGGAGACUCCCGAGGAGGGUUUGGGCACAGUCCCCGAGUUUCUAGUCGGACGUGGCACAAUCCGCACCAAUGAACUAGUUGCUGGUGAUUUCGAAGGGCCUGAUCCCGAAGCUUUCUAGGGGGCAAGACGAGACCCUUAGAGAAAUUAACGCCCUGAGUAGCCUUAAUUUAGGCCCUCUGUACUCACCGGGAGAGUUUAGGGAUGCACAUGACUCGAAUAUUGUCGAUGUGGGGACCUCUCAUGGAGGGAAAAAUGUGCUUGAAGACCUCCUUGCCGGUGUUGAGGAGAAUAUUGACCUUGAUGCCCCCUCGCUCUCGAGGAGGCAAAGAGACUUCAUCAGCAUGUGAUAUUUUUGACCUAUCAUUUAUGCUUAAGUCCUAGUGCUCGACUUUCUAACUUUUCUAUGUCGCUAUAGGCUAAGAAGAUGUAUGACCUGCGUUCUCAAGGCUCCAAGAUGAGCUUUCGUGUUGCGGGAAGGAGCUCGAGAAGCUCACCUCGGUACUGAAGGAUUCGGAGGCCUCCUCUACCCGAAAGGGGGAGGAAUUGAGCGGGCUUCGAGCGAGUUUGGAGGGAGUGCACUAGAAAAGGGAUGGCCUUGCUGAACAAGUAACAUGACAUCCAUGAACUCACCUUUUUAUUCUUAUAAUUUGAUGCCACCAACUUGCUUUGCCUUUGCUUAUUAGGCAAAAGGAUGCCCUGGUGGGGCAACUUCAGGAAGAGGUUGCGGCCAAGAACUCGAAGAUCCUCGCGCUGAGGGGGGAAAAUGAGGCCAUGAUCUCGGAGGUAGACCUUUUGCAGUCGGAGUUGGCAUCGACCCAUGGUCUUUUUUCGGAGUGCUCAGAAGGAGGCUGUUGCACUACCCGCGGCCAAAUCCGAGGCCGAAGAAAAUGCAUCUUCGUACCUUAAAGAUGCCGCCACUGCAAAUGAUCGGGCCAGAGAGAUAUUGGAGAAAGCCAAGUAGAAGCUGACUCGAGCCGUUGCUCACGCUCGCAAGCAAGGAAGGAAGGAAGCUCUCGAGGAAGCAAGCGCCAAAGGUGUCGAUCUCUCGGUUGAGAUUGAGGAAGCCCGGAUCUUGGAGGAAGAAUCGGCGUUUUCGGCCACUUCAGAUGAGGGCUCCGGAGAUGAUCCAGAGAGUAGCGAUGGUGAAGAAGAGACUCAUUUUGCCUCCCUUUCUUUUUUAUGUAUCAAUUUCCCGGGGGGAAAGGUUUUGUAAAGACACCCCCUUGUAAAUAUAUUUUUGGUAAUGUAAAAAGUUUUUUUUGCUUCAAGCCCUUGAAUUCUAUAUUUCAGCGUUUAUGCGGAGUUAGCCCUUGGACUUUGAUGUUUGCUCUUCGGGGCCCAUAUGUCGAGUAAUCGGGCACCGUAUCGAGAUUAGGUCGAUAGUUUAUUAGAAUCGGUGCUUGUAGUAACAGAAAUCCUCGGGGGUUCUCAAUAACUUCCGAGCGCUAUAAAAUAGCGUCAUUUGUGUGGUAUGGUUGCGAAGUGACCAGGGUGAUGGUAGAUUGUUGGCCAUUAAUUGAAAGCGGAUGAUGGUAGGUCAUUUGCUUCCCCAAACCGUUAAAGUGACCACUAUAAAUAGGUCAAUAUCUCACAACUUUUACACUCUUUACUUCUCAAUACUUUCUCUAAAUCUCACUAGCUUUUUCAUCUUUCCUGAGUUCAUCCUUUCUUCAACUUAUUCUUGCUACAGCAUUAACUUGUUUUCUUUUCUUGAAUUCCUUAACAGUAAUGGAAAAAACAUCUAGAACCAUUCCUCAGAAAGAGAAAGUCUCCUCCUCAUUACGGCCGGCUAGAGGUAGAACGACGAUGCUACCUCGCAUCGAGGAAUGUGUUCUCGGGCCAUGUGAGCUAUCUUCCGAUUUCAAAAUCGAUAAGCCUACAUCGUUCCAUGUUCAUGUGAACCAAUAUUCAAUACAUCUUCUUGAUAACUGAAAAUGAACUCAAGCAGGUGAAAGCGGAUUGUAAAUGGGGGAAUAAGGAUGUCGUGAUUCCUUCCCCCGAAUAGGACAUCACCACCCAUAAAGUAGGGUACUUAAGCGUGUAUACUACCCUUUCACCUUCGGUCCCGUAGAUCCAGCAUUGGGUCCCAUAAAUCCAAUCACUCUUGAUUUCUGCCAACAAUACCAAGUGAUGCUCAGCUAGAUCUAUCCUUCUUUCUGGCGCAUCGUCAAUUUGUUCAGGUAUUUCUCGGGCCAAGUUAAGGGGAUGCCUUUUACCCUCGACCAACUGACCAGGCUAUACAACCCUCGCCUUUAUAGAGGUGGUCUAAUAAAGCGUCAGCAUCGAUCCUCGAAGUAGCUUUUCUCCAGCAUCGACGAUGACAAGGAUCGACGAUGGAUAAGCCGGUUUGUCCGAAUCAGGACUUCUGAUUUGAUUCCAGCUGAGAGGAUGGCAUUCCCACAGGAGUGGAACAUAAAAUGUAAGUACACACUUAUCGAUGGUGAUUAUCAAUAAUGACGCAGAUGUCCCUUGGUUUCCUGGUGCGGUUCUAGACCUUGCAGGUUAGGUCUCACAACUGGCCUCCAGUUCUUCAUACGCGGAACACAGUUGGCAUGAUUUGGCCAAGGGUCUGUGUGAAUCUAAAAUGGUGAGAUUCUUUGUUCAUACAUCGGUGUUUCUCAUUGAAAUAUUCAUUUUGGCCUCGGAGACUCCGUUGCUAUGCGACCACCCCCACCCGGUGAAGACAGCUGAUUUUAUUCCACCUAUAAACACAAAUGUAGAUUCAAAUUAAUUAUGGAGCAAAAGCAGCCUACCAAAUUCAAUCAUUCUCUUUGGGCUGAUCAAUAGGUUAUUUAAAAGUUCAAAAAAAACCCUUAAACUCUAAGUAAUUACUCCUAGUAAAAGUUCACUCGUCAAUUCUAUAUUUUAUGAGGGGAUGAAGUAUUGUAUUUUCUCCAAGUGUAGAUUGGGACGGAGCUAGCUUGUGGUUCAAUUGAAUUUCUUUUGUUGGAAAAGUAAAUCUCAAAAGAGUGCAAAAAUAAUUUUGCUUAAUUAUUUACUCCCUUCGUAGUUUGACUCGACACGAAAUUUAAGGAAAAAGAAGAAGAUUUUUGAAACUUGUGGUGUUAAAAGCUUAAAGGUAAAAGCUUUGUGAGGUCAUGACAUUUGUAUGAUAUGAAUGAAAUAUUCAUAUCGGGCUUCCCUGCAUAUACUUCCUCUGGGGUCUGCGGCUAAAUCUGCAUUCAAAGCAAUGUGUGAACUAACAUCAACUAGUUUCACAUUUGGUACUUCCACAUGGUUAAUCGGUGGUACACUGACCCCUACAUUGUUGUUUUUCCCAUGAAAUCCAAAACCAUCAUUUUGUGUACAGGUGUGUUUUGCGAGUUUGAGAUGUUUUAACCCGAGAACAAAACUUCUUGACAAGAACAAGUGUAAAAAUAACGUGUGUUAUCAGAAUUAGCACUGAAAUAACCACUAUUAUCUUUAGCCCCACAGUGGGCGCCAAACUGUUUACCUCGAAAAUACGAGUAACAAUUAAACUUGUUUAUGGUUUUAAAAAUACAUGAUUUAAUUUACUACUAAUUAAUAACUAAGAAGUCAAACGUAUCAAUUAAGGAAAUAAGCUGAAUCAAACCAGUGUUUAAGCAAGUAUCGAUCUAGAGUUGUGAUGGCCUCGAGGUUGGUCAACAAGAAUAGUAAAAUAAAGACAACGAAGUUACGAGACAAUUCUAAUGAAAUAUGAGCAAGAAAGUAAGUGAGUAUAUUCUUUUUCCAUGAUUGAUUAUGGUUACAAAUGAUUAGGGGUCCCCUUUAUAUAGUAGGGGAUCCCUAAAUAAUGUACAUUUUUAUUUACAGUGAGGAAUCUUAUUGGGACAGCAAUCUAACCGCCUAGUACAGACUCGUACUAACUCAUACAAAUCUAUUUUGGAAUUUACGCCAUGAUCUUGGGGACAUGGCGAGAAUCUUGCUCUUCUAUAACAAACCCGUAACGACAUCAUCUCGAAGUUGGUCAUACUCGGCUUUGGUGCUCACUGCGUACUCCAAUCUUCGAGCCAUGUACUUUAUCAUCGGGCUCAGGCUUAGUCCAUCGGCUUCGAACUUAACUUUGUAUUUCCAAAUUAUUAAAUCCUUUUUUGACAAGGAAAAGGUAAUUUGGUAGCGUAGUGCAUUAUUUGUAAAAAUAGCACGGUAUAUCCAGUUUUCGAACUGAUCAUUCUAAAAUAGCUAGCGUUUACCAAGUCAAUGCAAAAUAUAAAUUGUUUCGUUGCAAUAGAGACCGGUCUAGCAUAGUAUACUGGAGUUCAGUGCACCUGUGUAUAAACUCCAGCAUAUUAUUCUAGAUCGGUAUACUUUGUUGGCUCCAAUAUAAUUUACUAGAGACUGGAGCACCAGUGCUCCAAACUCCAGUAUAUUAUGCUGGACCACUGUACUUACUGGAAUUCCAAUAUAUUAUGCUGGAACUCUAUCAUAUUAUGCUGGAGUUCCGGCAUACUUAUCCUGAAAUUCCAAUAUAUUAUGUUGGAGUUCAAGUAUACUUAUGUUGGAACUCCAGCAUAAUAUACUGGAGUAUUUUUCGGGUUUUAAACAGUGUUUUCGCUCAAAUUUGUCUUUACAUAAAAAGUGGCUAAAUUUCGAUUACUUUUGAAAUUGAGCAAUUUUUGAACGACCAGUUGUAAAUCUAGUUAUUUUUUAAUUUCUCCCGCUUUAUUCCUCUACAUGGAUUUCCUAUAUGCACCCAAGCAAUAUAACAGUGCCAACUACAAGUAAAUACAUAAUUAAAAAGGCUUAAUUAAUGGUAUUAUGGAGUAUUAUUUUCUUAAACCAAGGAACCAUAUUUUUAGUUUCUGCAACUAUAUAUUCUACUCCCAAAAGAUAAAGAAACAUUUAACACGAACUGAGAUGAUAUUCAACUUAAACCAAAUGAAAUUCAAAUUCGAAAAUGUUAUUACUGUAUAAGUUUUAAAAAUUAAAGCUCAGCUGAAUAACUGGUAGGAUGGAACCAAGGUCUAAGAGUAAUAUUAGUGGGAAGCCUACCACAUAAUAAGUGACGGUUCAAUUCUAAUAUCUGCUGUCUUCCUCUUUUCAUAUCUCCUAUGUUAUUAAAACUUUUAUAAAAAGAACUUUAAAACAUAUAAAGGGUCUGACCUCUUUUCAGAUUUAUGGUAGUUAUAAUUGUAACGAUAUCUAAUUUAGUCUCUUUAAUUAAAGAUAUUUAAGUUAAUCAGUUCAAAUAUAAUGACUUUUUUGUAAUUUAAAUUUCCCAAGAUAACACUAGAGUUUGGAAUAUAAUCUAGAAGUAAUGGUUUAAGGCUAAGCACUACAAAAAGUCACUUUCAUUUAAUUUCCCCAAGAACAUAGAUGUGCAUUUAUUAAUAUAUGUGUAUUAUGUUUGAUAUGAUUUUAUUUAAUUUGGCCCGAAUGGUUUCGAAAGUAAUUAUCUUGUUUGCCUGCCUUGUUUCACCUUUAUUUGCUUUCUUAAAAAGCUUUUAAGUUCACUAUUUGCAGUUUUUCAAAUCUCAAACUUAGGGCUUGAUUCCACCACUUUCCAGCCUCAUAUAUUUGAGAAUGAAAAACUGGAACAUUCUUAUUUUAAUAAGUUCACUAUAUAUGAUAAACCUGCUCUGCUACCCCAAAGCUCCCACUUUUUGCGGAACCAAGUCAGACACCUUCUCCACCAGAUACAAACAGUAAGUCACAUGAACCACUUAGGUCCUUUUACAAAAAGUAAAUGGCACGAGAUGAAAAGCUACAAAAUUAAACAUCUUGCUACCUUAUAUAUGACACCAUGCUAAACGUACUUAAUAUAACAGCUUUAUCAAAAAAAGAAAAAUCCUUAAUAUAAUAGACAUAACCUGCUGAAAUACACUUCCCAUUAAUUUUUAACCUUUACUAAGGCUGUUCUAGAUUGUCCUUACAAACCUAUGCAAACAUUGUUGCCAGUUUUAUCAAAAGUGAAAAGCGCAAAAAACCUGUAACUCUGUUGGUGCAAAGCGCAAAUAAAGCGCGGGCUUUAAAGAAGAAACAUGCAAAUGAAGAAAAACUACAAAUAUGUAUAUGUAUUCCAAGACUAAAGUAAAAUAUCAAUUGUUUAGUAUCGUCUCUUCAAUAUUACGCUAAUUAGCAAGUAAAAGUACGAUUUACAGCCUUGAUGGCAACGUUGAAGCGCCCACUAUGCGAGGCGAAGUGCUCAAUUUGAGCCUUGCUUCAGAGCUUAAGCGCGCCUUUAAUAACACUGAUUGUUGGUACAUAGUCAUUUGGUCAGAAAUAUGGCACUCCUUUAAACUUGUUUCAGACAGAGAAAUCACUCACUUUCAGUAAUUAACUAGUGAAUUUACUCAAAACUUAUUAUAACGUAUAUCCAAAAUAACUGUUGAAAAAGCUAUCAAACAACAAAACGAGUGAUAUAAUGAAGUACUGGCCUUAAAGAACUUUGAAGAGCUGCGAUAGUAGCAGUAGAAAUACAUUUUACUAAUUAGUGGAGAAAAAAGCAUCUGUAACACUUAACCAACUAGUGAUAUAAAAAAGAAGAAAAAGCAAUUACACCCAAAGAAAAGUAUCUAUAUUCACUCGAUGUAGAACAAUAUAGACAUGUAAAUGAUAUGCAAAAGUAUAAGACAUUAAGAUUGAGCUCUAUCAACAUUUUCCAGCUACUAAAUUUGGAGUAAAUGAGGUCUUACAUUUGAUCUUCCUUCAAAUUACAUCCACUGCAUCUACGUUUGUGUGCAAACCAUACCUAACUCCAAUUUCUAUCAUCAAUCAAUUUUUUUCCUUUUAACUAUUUGCAACUUUUAAGUUAUUCUUUACACCCAAGGAGCCCACAGUGAGAUGCACACCAAAUUUAUGCAAAAGCUGUUCCCAGUCCCUCAAUUAAAUUAUGUUUUAAAACACUCAUAUCUUGAAAAAUGAAAAUCAGAGAUAUCCAAUGAAACACCGGAAUUUUUUUCUUUUUCAAACAUACACACUACAGACGUUAAAAUGAAUUUUAAAUACUCCACUGCAUUAAAUAAUCAAUUUUAGCUACAGAAUAAUAUUCCACUGCAUUAGAUAAUCAAUUUCAGAUCGUUAUUCGGCUGAUUUGCGAAAUAAAUUAGGUCUUCUCCAGUCACACAGAUCAUUACUUGAAGUUGAAUAUACUUCCAACUGAAAACUAAAAACGUAAACAUAUUUUCACAAAGAAAAUGCAAAAAAUGUCAGUUGAAGUUGAAUAUACUUCCAAAUGAAAACUAAAAACGUAAACAUAUUUUCACAAAGAAAAUGCAAAAAAAUGUCACUGACCAUUUAUAGCUUCAUUAUUGCGAUCUUGAAUGGAGAUGAGAUCAGUAGGGAAGUUAAAGUCAUCAGCGGCUAAAGACGAAGACGGCGCUACGUUUCCUUCGAUCAUCGCCAUCGUCGAACUCGAUGGCCUCGCUGGCGACGAUGUCAGGGAACUGCCUGUACUCAUUUUCCCUCUACUUUUCCCCUCCUCCUAUCCGAAAAUACAAGCAAAACCGUAUAGAAACCACAAUCCGCUUUAACUUUCCUACAUUGUUUUUCGAGGUUAAUUUAUUAAAUAGUUAUAUGUCGGAUUUGCC